GAUUUCGAAUUCAACCAGCUCCUGACGCACUCUGGGAAAUCUCCAAAGCCAUGGAUCUUCAGAUUCCUUCGGUUUUGCCCAGACUUGCGAUAUGCAAGUAGUUGUCCAAGAGACAAGGGAAAUCACAUCUUCUUUCCGAAUUUCUUCCCAAUUUUGGGACAGGGGAUUAAACAUCUGUAACCUGUGUGUUCUUCUCGGCAAUCUUGAAGUGUCUGGAUUAUGACCCUUUUCCAAGGAUAUCACCCAGUUGAAGAACUUCGACCAUUGACGUAUCAUCUUCAAGAGGAAAUCGAUGAUUCUUCAAGCGUCUUUGGCUGGGACCUUCGCUUCCUUCAUCGUGAAUACGAGAAGAAUUUUGCGACGCAUCUCUUGCCUCUCGAACGAUCGUUCCAUGGACUGUUCUUCACGUCGAUUUCCUCCCGGUCGCGGACUGCCGGCGGAUGCCGAGUCGGAGGAAAUUCUUCCGAAAAAUCGGACAGAUUAUUAUUCCACCCGAAAUCCAUAUCGUGUUCGCUGGGAUGGAGGUCGAUGAGGUCUCCCAUGAUCUGAAACUGAAGUAACGUUGAAGGCCCACUCGGAUGUAUUAUUUAUUUUUCGCUUAUUCAUUUAUUUUUAACGUUGAAACAAUACGCUUGAUGUCAA